UACGUAGGUGGCAAGCGUUAUCCGGAAUUACUGGGCGUAAAGCGCACGCAGGCGGUCUUGUAAGUUUGACGUGAAAGCUCCCGGCUUAACUGGGAGAGGUCGUUGAAGACUGCAAGACUUGAGGAAAUGAGAGGGGUGUAGAAUUCCCGGUGUAGUGGUGGAAUGCGUAGAUAUCGGGGGGAAUACCAGUGGCGAAAGCGGCACCCUAGCAUUUUUCUGACGCUCAUGUGCGAAAGCGUGGGGAGCGAACGGG
rnacentral:rRNA from 1 species